rnacentral:rRNA from 1 species
GACGAACGCUGGCGGCGUGCCUAAUACAUGCAAGUUGAGCGCUGAAGGUUGGUACUUGUACCAACUGGAUGAGCAGCGAACGGGUGAGUAACGCGUGGGGAAUCUGCCUUUGAGCGGGGGACAACAUUUGGAAACGAAUGCUAAUACCGCAUAAAAACUUUAAACACAAGUUUUAAGUUUGAAAGAUGCAAUUGCAUCACUCAAAGAUGAUCCCGCGUUGUAUUAGCUAGUUGGUGAGGUAAAGGCUCACCAAGGCGAUGAUACAUAGCCGACCUGAGAGGGUGAUCGGCCACAUUGGGACUGAGACACGGCCCAAACUCCUACGGAGGCAGCAGUAGGGAAUCUUCGGCAAUGGACGAAAGUCUGACCGAGCAACGCCGCGUGAGUGAAGAAGGUUUUCGGAUCGUAAAACUCUGUUGGUAGAGAAGAACGUUGGUGAGAGUGGAAAGCUCAUCAAGUGACGGUAACUACCCAGAAAGGGACGGCUAACUACGUG